ensembl:lncRNA
ACAUGAGCGCAAAACCUCUCCGGUGUUUUCCCUCCUGUCCUCCUCACCUUUGUGGAAAUGGGAUGCCGGUUGUCUUUUAGAAACACGGUGCUUCGACGCUAAUUCAAUCAAUUCAUUGAUUGGGAAAAAACAGUCAAGUGUUCAUUUAUUCUUCUUUUUAAUGUUGCUGGUAAUGUGAUUCUUCAUGAUUCAUUGGAAUCUUAAAUGUGGCCAGAGUUUUAUCUCAAUCGACAGCAAAAGUUCAAACUGUUCUGAAAAUACAGGCACGUUUCUGUGACUUAUUUAGUGUCUGAAACGGGUACAAGUGGACCUGUGGUCAAAUUCACCAAAAAUAAUAAAGCUGUAGCUUCUGUUUUCCCACAUUCAUUGAUGAUUAUUCCACAUAAGCAGUCUGUUGUCCUGUUGUCGAUUGUGGAUAAUAAUGGAUUGGAUUUCAUAUAGCGCUUUUCAAGGCACCCAAAGCACUUUACAAUGCCACUAUUCAUUCACUCUCACAUUCACACACUGGUGGAGGCAAUAUCCCAACCUGCUCUUAUAAUAAUAGUUAUAAGAUUAUAUUUUGUUAUUUUCUAGUUUCUAGUUGAGUGAGGAGGAUGGAGAGAUUGUUCAGGAGCAGGGUGAACGAGGGAGCAAAUAGUUGGCUGGAAAAACAAAAGUUAUUUUUCACAAAGUAGUUUUCCGUGCCUUUCACGGACGCUCACUCUGCUUUCCAGUAGCACACUGAAAAAUGCCAGUGGGCAUUCUAAACAGAGCAUAUUAACAUGAAUGCAGCAUUUCACAGGAUUCAUUCUAAACAUGGCUGAACAGGACAGCUGCCGCUAUGUGAAGUGAAGGACUACAAAUCUAUUCUCCACUCGUGAAAUUGGGGUACAUGAUGCUCUGUGUUGAGUUUGCAUAAUAAAAAGCGCGUUUUCACCCUGCCACUCCAGGUCUAUGGAGUGGUUUUCCAGUGUCUGUAUGCACACACUGCCUCUGUGUGGUUAAGAGACUGAAAUAAUCUCCAUGUCUUUCAUCUUAUCUGAUUGCCAUAAAUAGUUCUUAAAACACUGAGCCUUUGCCUUGGGUUUGAUAACUAAAGGCUCCACAUUAAAACGGGUGGAUUAGAUUGAAAUUUCUACUUACUCUGAAUUAUUCUUAGACACUACCAUAGGUUAUCAAACUAAUUAGGCUGCUUUUGAAGGUAACGCUGUAAUGGAUAUUCGAUUGAACUGAGGUUUGCUGAUGUGAGAAGGGCUGAUAACAUUUGCAAACAGCAUAUUAUGAACAGCACAUUAUGAUUGGGAGCUGAGCCCCCCUAAGAGUUUGAACCUAGAAUGGCACCUGGUUAGAGAAAAGGAAGGCUUCCACCCCUCAUGGAGCGCGUGAGUCGGCUUGCAGACAGACAUGCACAGCUUCACGGGCACGGCUCGCGCGCCAGCUGUUUGAAUUAGAGUCGUAGAGCAUUAGCGUGUACCUGUAGAACACCCUGCGCCGUGUCGCUCGCUGUUAGCCUUUGUUUGAAAUGGAGCUGCUCAGAAACAAACUGAGCGGAAAUCACCAGCGUCCCCUCGGCAUCACUCAGUACUACAGUACCAGCGGGUGCACGAGGCGCGAGGACUCUGAGACAUUAAAGAAAACUCGGUUAAAGAAGAAGAGAGGCGCGAGGGUCCGCACAGGCACAGCAGCCUGCCUCCACCGUGACGACACUGCCCCUAUUUUCAGAUCCAUCCCACUUCCUUCCUCAAAUCUCCUCUCCCUCUUCCACCAUCACAGGAUUUCUGUAAUCCUAUUUGAAAUGGCGGAUGAGACAAACAUGGGAGGGAGGGAGAAGUGAAGCGCAGCAGAGGCUGCAGGGAAACCCAGAGUGGAGCUGCAGUGUAAAGUGGAGCUGGACUGACCUGACUGCUUUGAACACAGUUAACUUACUGAGAGUCAGCAACUUCAGCCGUGCCUGUUGAACCAACCAUCCCACAACUGUGAAGCAUAAGGAUGGAUUUUCCCUUUAAAUAAAAAAAGCAAAACCAUAAUAUGUAAUGAAAUCUAAAGCUUCUUUCUUUCACUGACAUUCACUGGUCUUUGAGGGUCGAGCACGAAGCUGAUGUUACAUGAGCCAUAUGGUUGAUUUCCAGUCCCAGUUAGCGUAAAGCUAGUUUAAGAUUUAGAGUUUCGUACAUUACCUUAAACACCUGAUGUAACAAUCUAUGAUGUAGCCCA